rnacentral:piRNA from 1 species
UCAGUUUUGGGAACACAAAGA